AUAAUGAUACUCCCGCAUAGCCUAGUCCGAGCGUUAAAAGCGUCGCAGGCAAUGGAUGCGGCUGCAUGAGAACCAUGCAGGGGUGAGACCCCCGUGA
rfam:Sporolactobacillus inulinus CASD NODE_234, whole genome shotgun sequence.